UACGGAGGGGGCUAGCGUUAUUCGGAAUUACUGGGCGUAAAGCGCACGUAGGCGGCUUUGUAAGUCAGAGGUGAAAGCCUGGAGCUCAACUCCAGAACUGCCUUUGAGACUGCAUCGCUUGAAUCCAGGAGAGGUGAGUGGAAUUCCGAGUGUAGAGGCGAAAUUCGUAGAUAUUCGGAAGAACACCAGUGGCGUAGGCGGCUCACUGGACUGGUAUUGACGCUGAGGUGCGAAAGCGUGGGGAGCAAACAGG
rnacentral:rRNA from 1 species